rnacentral:rRNA from 1 species
UACAGAGGUCCCAAGCGUUGUUCGGAUUCACUGGGCGUAAAGGGUGCGUAGGCGGUCGGGUAAGUCUGGCGUGAAAUCUCCAAGCCUAACUUGGAAACUGCGUUGGAUACUAUCCGGCUCGAGGAAUGGAGGGGAGACUGGAAUACUUGGUGUAGCAGUGAAAUGCGUAGAUAUAUGGAAGAACACCAAUAACGGCGAAGGCAGUUAACUAUUCUGUUACUGACAUUGAGGCACGAAAGCGUGGGGAGCAAAACGG